rnacentral:misc_RNA from 1 species
AACGCACAUGGCGCCUUCCAGUAUCCUGGGAGGCAUGCCUGUCCGAGCGUCGUUUCAACCCUCGAGCCCCUGUGGCCCGGCGUUGGGGAUCUGCCACGGCAGGCCCCUAAAACCAGUGGCGGACCCGAUGGGCCCUCUCCUUUACGUAGUAGCAUUCGCCUCGUAUUGGGAGUCCUCGGCGUCCUGCCUCUAAACCCCCCACAAGCCCGCUUCGGCGGCACCAAGGUUGACCUCGGAUCAGGUAGGAAUACCCGCUGAACUUAA